rnacentral:rRNA from 1 species
GUGGGGAAUCUUAGACAAUGGGCGCAAGCCUGAUCUAGCCAUGCCGCGUGAGCGAUGAAGGCCUUAGGGUUGUAAAGCUCUUUCGCUGGGGAAGAUAAUGACUGUACCCAGUAAAGAAGCCCCGGCUAACUCCGUGCCAGCAGCCGCGGUAAUACGGAGGGGGCUAGCGUUGUUCGGAAUUACUGGGCGUAAAGCGCGCGUAGGCGGAUUGGAAAGUUGGGGGUGAAAUCCCGGGGCUCAACCUCGGAACUGCCUUCAAAACUCCCAGUCUUGAGUUCGAGAGAGGUGAGUGGAAUUCCGCGUGUAGAGGUGAAAUUCGUAGAUAUUCGGAGGAACACCAGUGGCGAAGGCGGCUCACUGGCUCGAUACUGACGCUGAGGUGCGAAAGCGUGGGGAGCAAACAGGAUUAGAUACCCUUGUAGUCC